rnacentral:rRNA from 1 species
CGGCGAGUGAAGCGGCAAAAGCUCAAAUUUGAAAUCUAGCACUUUCAGUGUUCGAGUUGUAAUUUGAAGAAAGUCUCCUUGAAUAGUCCUUUAUCUAUGUUCCUUGGAACAGGACGUCAUAGAGGGUGAGAACCCCGUAUGAUUUUGGAUCCUAUUCUCUGUGGGAGUCUUUCGAAGAGUCGAGUUGUUUGGGAAUGCAGCUCUAAGUGGGUGGUAAAUUCCAUCUAAAGCUAAAUAUUGGCGAGAGACCGAUAGCGAACAAGUACAGUGAUGGAAAGAUGAAAAGAACUCUGAAGAGAGAGUGAAAAAGUACGUGAAAUUGCUGAAAGGGAAGGGCUUGAGGUCAGACUUGGUGUUUAAUGAUUAUCUUCUUUUCUUAAGUUGUGCACUCGUUUUUCACUGGGCCAAUAUCAGUUUUUGUAGUAGAGCACCUCUUGAAAUGUGAUUUCCUUCGGGGAGUGUUAUAGUCUUGAGACGAUCUACUACGGGGACUGAGGACUGCGCGUUAUGCUAGGAUAUUGGCGUAAUGACCUUAAGCCGCCCGUCUUGAACCACGGACCAA